CACCCUGUUUCUUUUCCUCACCUUUGAUUGGGUGUGGUGCUUGGCCUUAAUUGCACUCACCUGUCACUCGUUAUCUAAGGACUGCACUCACCUAGACCUCACUCUUUCUUCACUCCCACAUGGGGCGGCAGCUGAGCAGGACAUUCACUGAUCGUGACGCUCACUGCCCAGCUCUCAGCCUGUCAUCUCUGCCUACCUUUCCAUACUACCUCAGUUCAUCUCUUCCAGACCUCAGCCUGCUCACCUGCACUGCCACUGGUCCACUCCGUCCCUGCUUCGGUCUCCAUCCUUACAUACCUCGCCCAAGACUGUAGUAAACGUGUGGCAAACAGUUUGUUUCCCGUUCAGCGUGCUUUCUCGUUCCAGUGUUAUGUUUAUCAUUUCGUCCUCACUGUAAAUAAACCUGCUUUCACUGCAACUGUGUCUGUCUGAGUGAUCUGCCACCAGAGCCCACUAGUGUAAUUCCUGACAUCCUGGUACGUUUCUGGAAUGAACUCCUGAUUCAACCGUUUAUUUCCUUCAAUGUGCUUCAAAAAUGCGAGGUUCACCUAACCCGCAGACUCACUGAGUGAGGGGGAUACUAAUGCCGAGUUUUGGCCCAGGUGUGCCAGAGGCCAGUUCGAGUUGCUUCCUUUCAGGUGUUUUCAUUUCUAAAAAAUUUUGGGAUUUCUUUUAAUAUUAGUACAAUGUGUUUAAGUUUAAAAGAGCAUUUGCAUUACAUAUGGUUCACUUUCUCAAGUAUUCUGUUUUAUUGUGAAGAGCUCAUGAUUGUAAGAGGAAGUCAAUGUGGUUGUGAUCAGUAAAUCAGAUAUUGCAUCUGUAUGUAUGAAAUUGUUUUUUCAUAUUGUGAAACGUGCUGCAAAACACAGUAAGGCAGACUAACUGUAUUAUUUAAAGAUUGCAUGAAUAUACUCUGCAGGUUAAUGCAGGAUGAACAGGUUAGUUUGCUGUA